GCUACGGCCAUACCAGCCUGUGUACGCCCGAUCUCGUCUGAUCUCGGAAGCUAAGCAGGGUCGGGCCUGGUUAGUACUUGGAUGGGAGACCACCUGGGAAUACCAGGUGCUGUAAGCA
rnacentral:rRNA from 1 species